rnacentral:tRNA from 1 species
GCUCGGGUGGUGAAACUGGUAGACACGCAAGGUUGAGGGCCUUGUGGGCAUCAUAGCCCGUGCGAGUUCGAAUCUCGCCCCGAGCACCA